GACGAACGCUGGCGGCAUGCCUAAUACAUGCAAGUCGAGCGGACUAUCUGAGAAGCUUGCUUCUCAGAUAGUUAGCGGCGGACGGGUGAGUAACACGUAGGCAACCUGCCCUCAAGCUUGGGACAACUACCGGAAACGGUAGCUAAUACCGAAUACUUGUUUUCUUCGCCUGAAGGGAACUGGAAAGACGGAGCAAUCUGUCGCUUGGGGAUGGGCCUGCGGCGCAUUAGCUAGUUGGUGAGGUAACGGCUCACCAAGGCGACGAUGCGUAGCCGACCUGAGAGGGUGAUCGGCCACACUGGGACUGAGACACGGCCCAGACUCCUACGGGAGGCAGCAGUAGGGAAUCUUCCGCAAUGGGCGAAAGCCUGACGGAGCAAUGCCGCGUGAGUGAUGAAGGUUUUCGGAUCGUAAAGCUCUGUUGCCAGGGAAGAACGCUUGGGAGAGUAACUGCUCUCAAGGUGACGGUACCUGAGAAGAAAGCCCCGGCUAACUACGUGCCAGCAGCCGCAGUAA
rnacentral:rRNA from 1 species